rnacentral:rRNA from 1 species
UGCCAGCCGCCGCGGUAAUACGUAGGGGGCAAGCGUUAUCCGGAUUCACUGGGUGUAAAGGGUGCGUAGGUGGCAAUGUAAGUCAGAUGUGAAAUUUAGGGGCUCAACCUCUAAGCUGCAUCUGAAACUGCGUAGCUAGAGUGCAGGAGAGGAAGGCGGAAUUCCGAGUGUAGCGGUGAAAUGCGUAGAGAUUCGGAGGAACACCAGUAGCGAAGGCGGCUUUCUGGACUGUAACUGACGCUGAGGCACGAAAGCGUGGGGAGCAAACAGGAUUAGAUA